UACAGAGGUCUCAAGCGUUGUUCGGAUUCAUUGGGCGUAAAGGGUGUGUAGGUGGCGCCGUAAGUCGGGUGUGAAAUCUCGAGGCUUAACUCCGAAACUGCAUUCGAUACUGCGGUGCUUGAGGACUGGAGAGGAGACUGGAAUUCAUGGUGUAGCAGUGAAAUGCGUAGAGAUCAUGAGGAAGACCAGUGGCGAAGGCGGGUCUCUGGACAGUUCCUGACACUGAGACACGAAGGCCAGGGGAGCAAACGGG
rnacentral:rRNA from 1 species